rnacentral:rRNA from 1 species
UGGACGAACGCUGGCGGCGUGCUUAACACAUGCAAGUCGAACGGAAAGGCCCUGCUUUUGUGGGGUGCUCGAGUGGCGAACGGGUGAGUAACACGUGAGUAACCUGCCCUUGACUUUGGGAUAACUUCAGGAAACUGGGGCUAAUACCGGAUAGGAGCUCCUGCUGCAUGGUGGGGGUUGGAAAGUUUCGGCGGUUGGGGAUGGACUCGCGGCUUAUCAGCUUGUUGGUGGGGUAGUGGCUUACCAAGGCUUUGACGGGUAGCCGGCCUGAGAGGGUGACCGGCCACAUUGGGACUGAGAUACGGCCCAGACUCCUACGGGAGGCAGCAGUGGGGAAUAUUGCACAAUGGGCGGAAGCCUGAUGCAGCAACGCCGCGUGCGGGAUGACGGCCUUCGGGUUGUAAACCGCUUUCGCCUGUGACGAAGCGUGAGUGACGGUAAUGGGUAAAGAAGCACCGGCUAACUACGUGCCAGCAGCCGCGGUGAUACGUAGGGUGCGAGCGUUGUCCGGAUUUAUUGGGCGUAAAGGGCUCGUAGGUGGUUGAUCGCGUCGGAAGUGUAAUCUUGGGGCUUAACCCUGAGCGUGCUUUCGAUACGGGUUGACUUGAGGAAGGUAGGGGAGAAUGGAAUUCCUGGUGGAGCGGUGGAAUGCGCAGAUAUCAGGAGGAACACCAGUGGCGAAGGCGGUUCUCUGGGCCUUUCCUGACGCUGAGGAGCGAAAGCGUGGGGAGCGAACAGGCUUAGAUACCCUGGUAGUCCACGCUGUAAACGGUGGGUACUAGGUGUGGGGUCCAUUCCACGGGUUCCGUGCCGUAGCUAACGCUUUAAGUACCCCGCCUGGGGAGUACGGCCGCAAGGCUAAAACUCAAAGGAAUUGACGGGGCCCCGCACAAGCGGCGGAGCAUGCGGAUUAAUUCGAUGCAACGCGUAGAACCUUACCUGGGUUUGACAUGGAUCGGGAGUGCUCAGAGAUGGGUGUGCCUCUUUUGGGGUCGGUUCACAGGUGGUGCAUGGCUGUCGUCAGCUCGUGUCGUGAGAUGUUGGGUUAAGUCCCGCAACGAGCGCAACCCUUGUUCACUGUUGCCAGCACGUUAUGGUGGGGACUCAGUGGAGACCGCCGGGGUCAACUCGGAGGAAGGUGGGGAUGACGUCAAGUCAUCAUGCCCCUUAUGUCCAGGGCUUCACGCAUGCUACAAUGGCUGGUACAGAGAGUGGCGAGCCUGUGAGGGUGAGCGAAUCUCGGAAAGCCGGUCUCAGUUCGGAUUGGGGUCUGCAACUCGACCUCAUGAAGUCGGAGUCGCUAGUAAUCGCAGAUCAGCAACGCUGCGGUGAAUACGUUCCCGGGGCUUGUACACACCGCCCGUCAAGUCAUGAAAGUUGGUAACACCCGAAGCCGGUGGCCUAACCGUUGUGGGGGAGCCGUCGAAGGUGGG